AUGACCUCAACCAUUUCAAACCUGGCCCUGUUCAGUUAUGAGAGAGUAGGUUUUUGACAUCUGCAUGGCUGCCAGUCUGAAAUAAAAGUGAUGUGGACUCCCUCUGCAGUCACCAAAGUUUGGUUCCUCAGCUACUAUCAAAACUGUCACUGACUGGCAUUUUGACAGCCAGGAGACAGGCUAUAGUUGUACACGUGCAUAUAGCUCAGUUCCUGCCUCAUUUGUGCUUGCACCUCUUAUAUCUGCAUUGUAUAGGGAAGAAAAGGAGUAACUUACAGGGAAGUGUUCCAAGAUGGGUAAUUGUGUUAUGAAUAAUGGAAUAAUUGAAUAAUUGAGGACUUUGGGCAACACAGCAUAACACAUGCAACGUAUUCUCAGCAUUUAUACUACUUUAUCUGCCUAGCUAUUUCUGUUGCUCACUGUCCUGAAAGAGUGUUUUACAGGGCAAUCUACAGUUUCAGUACAGGCUGAGGGACAACGUGAUUGAGAGCAGCUCUGCAGAGAAGGACUUGGGGGUGCUGAUUGAUCAGAAACUCAACAUGAGCUGUCAAAUGUAUGCUCACAGCCCAGAAGGCCGAUCAUAUCCUGAGAUGCAUCUCAAGCAUUGCCAGAUGGCCAAGGAACAUGAUUCUUCCCCUCUAUUUCCAUCUCAUGAGACCUCGCCUGGAGUAUGUGUCCAGUUCUGGAAUUCCCAACAUAAGAAAGAUACAGAACUGUUGGAAUGGGUCCAUAGCAGGGCCACAAAUAUGCUCAGCCUCAAGAAGAGAAGGCUCCGGAGACUUUACAGGAGCCUUCCAGUACCUGAAGGGGGUACUGGUAUCUUUAAGGUGAGUCACUGCAAGAAAGACAUUGACUUGCUGGAGCCUGUCCAAGGAAGAGCAAUGAAACUGCUGAAGGGUCUACAGAACAAGUCCUGUGUGGAGCACCUGAGGGAACUGGGGUUGUUUAGUCUGGAGUAGAUAAGACUGAGACAAGUUAUCGCUCUCUACAAGUACCUGAAAGGAGGUUGUAGUGAGGGAAAGUUUCUGCUGAGAAUUAUGAACUCUUCUGCUGAGAAUAUGAGCCUACACAAUUGUGUUAAGCAACUGAAUAAAUGCAGAAGUGGUCAAGACAGCAUGCAACUGGAAAUGUGUGAAAAAGACUUUAC